rnacentral:rRNA from 1 species
AUUGAACGCUGGCGGCAUGCUUUACACAUGCAAGUCGGACGGCAGCACAGAGAAGCUUGCUUCUUGGGUGGCGAGUGGCGAACGGGUGAGUAAUAUAUCGGAACGUACCGAGUAAUGGGGGAUAACUAAUCGAAAGAUUAGCUAAUACCGCAUAUUCUCUGAGGAGGAAAGCAGGGGACCUUCGGGCCUUGCGUUAUUCGAGCGGCCGAUAUCUGAUUAGCUAGUUGGUGGGGUAAAGGCCUACCAAGGCGACGAUCAGUAGCGGGUCUGAGAGGAUGAUCCGCCACACUAGGACUGAGACACGGCCCAGACUCCUACGGGAGGCAGCAGUGGGGAAUUUUGGACAAUGGGCGCAAGCCUGAUCCAGCCAUGCCGCGUGUCUGAAGAAGGCCUUCGGGUUGUAAAGGACUUUUGUCAGGGAAGAAAAGGCUGUUGCUAAUACCGACAGCUGAUGACGGUACCUGAAGAAUAAGCACCGGCUAACUACGUG